UGCUGUAAAUGCUGUGCAGUGUUCGCCUGUCUCUUUGAACCAUGGUGACUCAAUACAGUCUUUCGUAACAGUUAAAAAAAACUUAAAAAAAUGCCAGUUCCCCGUCGUAUUUAGUGUUCUAUGGCCUGUGAUAUCUCAUAAUCGUUAGAUCUUUAUACUCGUAAGCAUACACAAUGUACAGUGAAACGCUUAAUUCGGUCAAAAUUUGAAGAGUACCACGUCGAGAAAUGGGUUCCAGGCUAAGAGACACAGCGCGGCUGUUCGAAUUGUUUUGUGAAGUGUCACCUGGGGACCCUUCACAGGAACCACGGGAGCCAUAUAUCAUCAGAAAAUAUCCCGAAGGACUCAGAACAGAGGAUGAGCUGAAAGAUGUUCCUAAGUUCACAUUCCCCUGUGAAUUAGAUAGUACUUUCGUUCAGCACUAUUCGUUUGUGAUGACGGCUGUGGAUUCAAAGUAUACGUUUUGUUUCUGCCGCUACGACCCCAGAACGAACACCGCUCUAGUAAUAAUGUCUCACUUACCGUGGCACGACAUAUUUUAUAAAUUAUUAAAUAGUAUAUCGAACCUAAUAAACAGUUCAGAGAAGGGGGAACUGACGUCGUUCCUGGAGGCGUGUCGGAUCCGGCCCCCGAUGAGGGACCACACGCUGAAAGUGACGUACAACGCGGGUCGAAGCGUGUUCUCUUGCCAAAACCCCGACGGCCGGCUUCCGAGCAUCCCUGAAAAUUGUAACUUAACGGAAUACUUCAGCGCGGUAGACACAAAAUGCAUGGCAGGGUUAUGGGCAGCGUUACUGCACGAGAGACGAGUCGCCAUCGUAGCGUCCAAGCCCUCCCGGUUGUCGGCGUGCGUGCAGGCGGCCAACGCGACACUAUUCCCUAUGUCAUGGCAGCAUAUAUUUAUACCGAUCCUGCCUAAACACUUUGUGGAUUAUCUGUUGGCGCCAAUGCCGUUUCUUAUUGGAGUUCCUGCUAGCGUUAUGAGUACGGUAAGGAUGUCGGAUAUAGGAGACGUAGUAGUAUUAAACGUAGACAAAAACGAACUGAGAUCUCCCUUCCAAGACUUAGAAAGUCUUCCACCUGAAUUGGUAUCCAGUUUAAAGAAAGCUUUAAGUGAUAAGAAUGCAUUAGGAGACGCUGUGUCGCGCGCGUUUCUACGGGCACUGGUUGGUUUAAUAGGGGGGUACCGAGACGCGAUAAGAAUCGAAAAAGGUCAACAAAUAACGUUCAACCCUGAGGCUUUUGUGAGAACUAGAAAAAAUAUGCAACCAUUCCUUAAAAAAAUUCUACAAUCACAAAUAUUUCAACAGUUUAUAGACGAGAGGUUAGAAUUGCUCAAUUCCGGCAGAGGCUUUAACGACGAGUUCGAAGUGGAAUGUAACGCGUACGCCGACAAACUAGGGACGGGCAGCGGCCAACGACUGAAACAGCAGUACAAAGACUGGGCCAAGACUGUGAAGAAAGAAGGCGGGGCCUUCUUUAAAAAUUUCAAAGACAAGGCGAACCCCGCGGUACAGUCAGCUGUCAAAACGGUCCGGCAAGGAGGUAAAAACAUGAAGUCAGCGGUGAAGGGUCUGAAGAAUAAAAUACCCAAGACUGGUUCUCGGCCGUCGUCAAUCAAUACUACAGAUGACAGCAGAUUCUCGUGCGGCUCAGUAACGCCAGUCUCGUCGGAUUCCUCGGACUCGUCGCCGUCCCGCGACCCGCCGCUGCGCGACCCCGCGCCGCACCUGCCCCUCGACCUGCUCACCGAGAUGGAGCACCUGUUCAAGAACAAGUCGCGCCGGGACAGCCUGCCCGGCAGCCCGCACAACCAGCUCAGUCUAGCCGACAGAUCCAAAACACUGUCACCAAGUGUCCCACCCCGGUUACCGGAUCGUCCCCAACUCCCCCUCCGUUACCCAAUAAUUUCCACGAGGAAGUUGAUAGACCUGUCCGACGCGCCCGCGCCGCCUCCCCGCGCGCAGCACCACGCGAACCACUCGCAUUUCGUCACUAACAUCACCAAAAACAGUGACGCGAGCGAUUUCCACACGAGCACUAUUCAGUUUACGGAGGGCAAGGAGAAAGGCAAGCUGAAGCUGACCAUGUCGACCACGCAGAGGAAGCUGUCCGACAGCUCGCCCGCGCCCAACGGCUUCAAGCCGCCGCCCAAGCCCGCGCCCGCGCCCGCCACGGAACCCAAUAGCUUACCCAGGCCCGUGGCCCGAUACCUCCACAUACCGAAUAGAGGAAAUACUCAAGAGGUAAUUGUGAUAUGCGCAUUUAUACUCAUAUCGAUUCUAUAUCUCGCUGUCAAACAGAAAACGGUCGAGUUCUUACCCUGAGAUCGAGAGUGGAGCUUGUUUUGCACUAACACGGUUUUAAAAACUGAAUAGAUAAGAAUAGUUUAUUUAUUAAAACAUUAACUAUAAAAACUUAUUAUAUUGUUAAUUUCAUUAUGGAUUAAUAUAUUUAUAACAUAUCCAAGGUCCUUCAUUCCUCACUGUACUCGAGCUAGAUACCAGUGAUCCCUAGUUUGGGUCAGUCGAGAAUGGGCAGUGCAACCGGCUGCCCGAACCCCGAUUGGCCCGCGAUCUGUAACGACCUGUUUAACAUGGUGUGGCUGCCCGACAAAUAGUAUUUCAGGGUUCUCAUGAUGAACUAUUAUAUUCUGGGAUAUAACAAAAUGUGCCUAGACGAGAAACUUACUACAAUGUCGCAAAGGACAUCGUUCUCUUACUUAGCAAAAGUCGUGUGAGUCCACUGAUCUAAUAAAACUGGACGAUUCGCCGACGAAUCUAGAAGAUUUCGAUCCUCUCAAGUGCCGUGAUAAAAAUGAUAAAGUGGACAC